rnacentral:rRNA from 1 species
UACACUCCUACGGGAGGCAGCAGUGGGGAAUUUUGGACAAUGGGCGAAAGCCUGAUCCAGCCAUGCCGCGUGCAGGAUGAAGGCCUUCGGGUUGUAAACUGCUUUUGUACGGAACGAAACGGCCUUUUCUAAUAAAGAGGGCUAAUGACGGUACCGUAAGAAUAAGCACCGGCUAACUACGUGCCAGCAGCCGCGGUAAUACGUAGGGUGCAAGCGUUAAUCGGAAUUACUGGGCGUAAAGCGUGCGCAGGCGGUUAUGUAAGACAGUUGUGAAAUCCCCGGGCUCAACCUGGGAACUGCAUCUGUGACUGCAUAGCUAGAGUACGGUAGAGGGGGAUGGAAUUCCGCGUGUAGCAGUGAAAUGCGUAGAUAUGCGGAGGAACACCGAUGGCGAAGGCAAUCCCCUGGACCUGUACUGACGCUCAUGCACGAAAGCGUGGGGAGCAAACAGGAUUAGAAACCCGAGUAGUCCCAG